rnacentral:rRNA from 1 species
GAGUUUGAUCGUGGCUCAGGACGAACGCUGGCGGCGUGCUUAACACAUGCAAGUCGAGCGAUGAAGUCCCUUCGGGACGGAUUAGCGGCGGACGGGUGAGUAACACGUGGGCAACCUGCCUCAAAGAGGGGGAUAGCCUCCCGAAAGGGAGAUUAAUACCGCAUAACAUUAGAGUGUCACAUGAUGCUUUAAUCAAAGGAGUAAUCCGCCUUGAGAUGGGCCCGCGGCGCAUUAGCUAGUGGUGAGGUAACGGCUCACCAAGGCAACGAUGCGUAGCCGACCUGAGAGGGUGAUCGGCCACAUUGGAACUGAGACACGGUCCAGACUCCUACGGGAGGCAGCAGUGGGAAUAUUGCACAAUGGGGGAAACCCUGGAUGCAGCAACGCCGCGUGAGUGAUGAAGGUCUUCGGAUUGUAAAG